GAUGCACGCUAGCUACAGGCUUAACACAUGCAAGUCGAGGGACCGGCGCACGGGUGAGUAACACGUAUCCAACCUGCCCUUUACUCGGGGAUAGCCUUUCGAAAGAAAGAUUAAUACCCGAUAUAAAGGAUGGGGAUGCGUUCCAUUAGGUUGUUGGUGAGGUAACGGCUCACCAAGCCUUCGAUGGGUAGGGGUUCUGAGAGGAAGGUCCCCCACACUGGAACUGUGACAUGGUCCAAAUGCCUACUGGAGGCAGCAGUGAGGAAUAUUGGUCAAUGGGCGCUAGUCUGAACCAGCCAAGUAGCGUGAAGGAGGAAGGGGUUGGGGUCGUAAACUUCCUUUAUAUAAGAAUAUGUAUUAUAUGCAUAUGGAUCGGCUCACUCCGUGCCAGCCGCCGCGGUAAUUC
rnacentral:rRNA from 1 species